rnacentral:rRNA from 1 species
UACGUAGGGGGCAAGCGUUGUCCGGAAUUAUUGGGCGUAAAGAGCGCGUAGGCGGUCCGAUAAGUCGGCUGUGAAAGUCUAGGGCUCAACCCUGGAAAGCCGGCCGAUACUGUCGGACUAGAGUCCGGAAGAGGCAAGUGGAAUUCCCGGUGUAGCGGUGAAAUGCGUAGAUAUUGGGAAGAACACCGGUGGCGUAGGCGACUAGCUGGGCUGUAACUGACGCUGAGGAACGAAAGCCAGGGGAGCGAAUGGG